UCCAUUGAGGCGAGCGCGUGCUCCGGCGAGCACAUGGGCAGCGGGGCCCGCGGCCGCUCCGCGUCCCUGCGCGCUGCUCCGCGGCCCCGGCCCCGGCCCGCAGCUCCCCUUCCCUGGCAGGGCGGCGCGGUCCCAGCCCCACGUUUCCCACCGGUCCAGAGUAACAUUUGGAGGAACCCGGCAGCAUGGUCCUUUCAGUAGCUCCCAAGGAUUUUUAGGAUCAUAGGAUGUGUGGAUGCCCAAAACCUUCUGGAGAAUGUUGGCUGUGGAUAAACGCAUCUGGAAGUUCCUACCGUCUUUUUACCCUGUUUUUUCCUGGGUCACCUUGUGUCAUUUGGGAAGGAAGCCUCUCUGUCCUGAGGAUUAUAACAAACUGGUCCUUUACUGGAAUACCUCCCCUUGUGUUUUCUCAAGAUGAAGCCAUUGCUUUACCCGGGAGAAGGAUACUUUUUUCUUCUUCCAGAGCUUUUCCAGUGCAGCAGGCCUCAUGUCCAACAGGUCCUGGUUGACUGUGAAAAGGAGAGAGGAGGAGAGUGUGGAAGGGAGGUCAGAUCCUGCCAGGGUUUCCUGGAAAGUGAGUGCCUCCAUGCCUUUACCUUCCUCUGCACAGAACUGCCCUGACCUUGGUGUCUCCCCAGGGUGUGUUUCCUGGGAAGCUUAAGGAUGUAACAAGAGGAGUUGAAGGCCAUCAUCCAGGCAUUGUCCAUGGGGGGGACCUGGGGGAAACUAACUGUGGUGGAGGCAGAGAACCUGGGAGAGCAUCUGGGCCAUUGGUGUCUCCUACAACGCAACAGGACUCAAGGGAAAGGCCCCAAAAUGCUGACAGGGAGGGACUGCAGGUGGUCUCCAGUGCUUACUGGGGGAGGACAGCCAGCACUUCCAGAGGUGGGGAUGUGCCCACCUCUUGAGGUGACCCUUCUCAACAUUGCACCACUUUGCUCAUAGGAAAGCUUGCCACAUGUCCUACAUGGCCACAACUUGUGGAUGUUGCCCUUUGCUACAUAGUCUCUCUCAGCUGAGAUGGGAUGGAUGUUGAAGGGAAGAAGCAGGGAGAGGUCUCCUUUGGGCCUAUUGCAGACAACAAGUGAUGACACUGGUGGGUAGUAAAUGCAUCUGCAGCACGUCCUGCAGAGGUUCCUCCUUUGGAGAGAUGUUGUCCUUGUGCAGAUGUUUUUCCUUAAUAGAUUUGACCCUUUUGAAGAAAACCAUGUUCUUUUUCUGAACUAUGAAAUAGUGUAUUGAAAACCAAUAUAGAGUAAAACGAGCUUAGGUCAAGAUGGAUUAAUUAUUAAAACUAGGGCAUAUUCUGCUAAUGCCCCAGUGCCCUGGGGGCAAUGUUUCUUAACCAUAACCCUGAGUCAUAACUGCCUACUUGAUUGCAACUUGUAACCAGACCAGUAUUGCCGUGGAGAGGAUGGCACACAGGCUGGAGCCAAGAGGCUUGAGAGCUCCAUGUUGACAGGGCUAGUUGGGUGCAUGGUGCCAAUGCACCUUCAUGGAAGGGAGGAUUAAAUAUUGGACAGAACAACACAUGAACCAAAAUGUCAAAUGGCUGCAUGUGUUGGGUUUGCAUUUUGUUUUCUUUUGUUUGUUUGCCUGACUUUGACAACUGGAUUCUCAAAAUAUGGGGACCUGAGAGGUCUUUAACAGCAAUAGGUGGAGCUCAGCUGUGGAAGAAAGGGUUAUGCUUGUGGGAGGGAGGGCUUAUUGCUCAAGCAGACACACUUGGAGUGGCUGGCUUGGAAUGAGAUGGGUGGUGGCUUUUGAUCUUGUCAUUCCUUGUGGUCAUGACAGGGAAAGCUGAUGUUCCUGCAAAUUGACUAUGCAUAGUGGCAUGUCAGGAAUA